ensembl:lncRNA SPINT1-AS1 SPINT1 antisense RNA 1
AGGGACCCGGCAGCCAGACAGACGGACAGGCGGACCGCUAGGGAGCUCAAGUACCCGGACACACGCACGAGCGCAGAACAAAGGGCCGGACAUGCUCCAGCCCGCUCCGCCUGCGCCUCGGCCUUGCGCGCGGGGGCCCGGGUUACCUGCGCAGUGCCCUUGGUGUGGUGGAAGCAAGGUGCCAUGUGAUAAGUAAGCCUCCAGAGAGGCCUGCAUGGCAGGAUCCAAUGUCUUUAGCCAACAGCAUCUGGGAACCUGAGACCUGCCAACACCCUUGUGAGUGAGCCUGGAAGUGGACCUCCUGCUCUUGAACCUUGAGGUGACUAUAGUGCUGGCUGACACCUUGACUGCAGUCCCUGAGCUGGGGGGCCCAGCUGAUCUACUCCCAGAAUCCCCCCUACUAAAACAGUGAUAUAAUAAAUGCUUAUUGUUUCAAGCUGGUAACUUUUGGAAUGCAUUCACUGAAAAAAAUUAGAAUAUCAAACUAUAAACCGUUUACUUAGUCAACUUUUUGGGGAACUAAUAUGGCCAUAAAUAUCAAACCUCCUACAAUUUUGCACAUUCUUUGACUUUGUAGUUCUACAUCUAUAAACUUCUCUUAAGGGAAAUCAUGGAUGCCAACAAAGAAA